rnacentral:rRNA from 1 species
UGAAAAGAACUUUGAAGAGAGAGUUCAAGAGUACGUGAAACCGUUCAGGGGUAAACCUGAGAAACCCAAAAGAUCGAAUGGGGAGAUUCAUCGUCAGCGGCUUUGGCUUUCGUGUGUUUCGUAUGGUCUAUGACUUCGGUUAUAUGGCUCACAAGCACUGCGGUAUGUCUGAGGUCGUCGGCGUGCACUUCUCCCCUAGUAGGACGUCGCGACCACGGGGCAGACCCCCGAUUAUCUGACCGACUACCUGGCGGUACUCGCACGGUAUAGGGCCGCACUUUGUGCGUCGGGCCCGUCGCAAGCGAGAUCAGUGAUACUCGGAUGUACGGACCUAGUGCCGUCUCCGAGCCUGCUCAGCUGUUGGUCGACGGUGUUCUCGGACAGGCUCAUUUCAAUUAUUGAAUACCGGACCCGUCUUGAAACACGGACCAAGGAGUCUAACAUGUGCGCGAGUCAUUGGGACCGCAAAACCUAAAGGCGUAAUGAAAGUGAAGGUCGACCUUGUGUCGACUAAGGGAGGAUGGGCUGCGUUACGAUGCAGCCCCGCACUCCCGGGGCGUCUCGUACUCAUUGCGAGUUGAGGCGCACCCAGAGCGUACACGUUGGGACCCGAAAGAUGGUGAACUAUGCCUGGUCAGGACGAAGUCAGGGGAAACCCUGAUGGAGGUCCGUAGCGAUUCUGACGUGCAAAUCGAUCGUCGGAACUGGGUAUAGGGGCGAAAGACUAAUCGAACCAUC